UACGGGGGGGGCAAGCGUUGUUCGGAAUUACUGGGCGUAAAGGGCUCGUAGGUGGCCAACUAAGUCAGACGUGAAAUCCCUCGGCUUAACCGGGGAACUGCGUCUGAUACUGGAUGGCUUGAGUUCGGGAGAGGGAUGCGGAAUUCCAGGUGUAGCGGUGAAAUGCGUAGAUAUCUGGAGGAACACCGGUGGCGAAGGCGGCUAUCUGGACAGAGUCUGACGCUGAGGCGCGAAAGCUAGGGGAGCAAACAGG
rnacentral:rRNA from 1 species